UUUCUUCCUUCAAGACAGCAAUUCAUCUCUCGUCUAGAAGCCCUCUACUGCUUCGCCAUUGACACACGAGUCAGUGGGAGGGAUCUUCAUGGCAACGAGAAGACACUCCACUCCCCUGCAGUGUUCUGGCGAACAUCACUCCGCCUCGCUGCUUGAUGUUGCGCUGGUGAACGGGCCACUUCAGCAUCCUGAUUCCCCGCAGCACUUCGGCAGGAGUUGUGAUGCUUCUAGAACCCAUACGCUGUUUCUAGAAAAUCUAAGUUUCGGUUCACUCUGGCAAAGAUGACACUAAUUGCCAACUGGAUUUACGACAUGACACAUCCCCGGUAUGUUUCAGAUGAUGGUGCCCUGAGCCCACAAAAGAUGAAUGAAUUCCAUGUUACCACAACUGUGAACUGAACUUUGUGCAAUAAUUCUGAAAUGCAUAUAUGGACUGACCUGACCUUCCAGCUUUCUCUGACUGUUUCUGUUUUCACUGUAGUUCUUGUGAUUAUGUCUUUGUGUAUUGCUUCCUGAAGUGUUAACUCUAGUGUGCCGCCAAGUGGCAACAGGUGAGGUGAAGCUCUUCAGAGUUUAUUCCCUCAGACACUCUUUCUACGUCAACAGAGCUGGACACAAAAUACCACACCUCAAGCCAAGGCAAUUAAUCCCAAUUUGUUUAUUGCUGCAUAAUGGUAACCGAUAGCCAAAUAGUUAUUCAGGUAAUGUAAGCCUGUCUAAAAUCUUGCCUAAAGUUAACAGUAAUUUAAAGGAUUAGUUCACCCCAAAAUGGAAAUUCUCUCAUCAUUUACUUACCCUCAUGCCAUCCCAGAUGUGUAUGACUUUCUUUCUUCUGCAGAACACAAAGAUUUUUAGAGGAAUAUUUCAGCUCUGUAGGUCAUCACAAUGCAAGUUAAUGGUGCCAGAACUUUGAAUAUCCAAAAAGCACAUAAAUGCAGCAUAAAAGCAAUCCAUAAGACUCUAAUGGUUAAAUCCAUGUCUUCAGAAGUGAUAUGAUAGGUGUGAGUGAGAAAAAGAUCAAUAUUUAAAUCUUUUUUUACUAUAAAUCUCAACUUUCACCUACACAUUCUUCAUCUUUUGUUUUUGUUGAUUCGCAUUCUUCGUGCAUUUUACCACCGACUGGUUGGGGCUUGUCAAAUGUGGAGAUUUAUUGUGUAAAGACAGUGUGAAUGUGUAGUGUCGUCCUAGCGUGUCAUCCCAAGUUUUUUUUUUUUACCAUCCGAUUUUCUGUUU